CCCUUAGAUGUUCUGGGCCGCACGCGCGCUACACUGAUGCAUUCAACGAGCCUAUCCUUGACCGACAGGUCCGGGUAAUCUUUGAAUCUGCAUCGUGACGGGGAUAGAUUAUUGCAAUUAUUAAUCUUCAACGAGGAAUGCCUAGUAGGCGCAAGUCAUCAGCUUGCGUCGAUUACGUCCCUGCCCUUUGUACACACCGCCCGUCGCUCCUACCGAUUGGGUGUGCUGGUGAAAUGUUUGGAUCGGCCGUUUGUCGCGGUUUCCGCGGCUCGUGGCUGAGAAGUUCAUUAAACCCUCCCACCUAGAGGAAGGAGAAGUCGUAACA
rnacentral:rRNA from 1 species